AUGCAUGGUAGCCGAGAUAAUAUUCCUUUUCCGGACAGGGACUUGGAGAAUAGGAAGGCGGCUAACAUGCGUAACGAGAAAACUGAUGAUGGAAACAAGAUGAUGGAAUUUUUCAAUGCAUUCCAUGCACACAAUGGAAAGUUCUAUCACGACAUAAUGUAUGAUGCUGAUGGUCUUCCGAAAAAUAUUUUCUGGAGCCAUGCUAGUUGCCGUGCGAACUAUAGUGAUUUCGGUGAUGUUGUUACGUUCGACACCACCUUCAAGACCAACAGGUACAAUAUGCCACUGGCAAUGUUUGUUGGUGCUAACCAUCACCUGCAGAGCACUAUUUUUGGUUUUGCCUUACUUCGUGAUGAGUCGGAGGACUCAUUCGUCUGGCUUUUCAAUACAUUCAAGAAAUGUAUGGAGGGCCACGAACCGCGUUGCAUUUUAACAGACGAAGACCAGGCUAUGGCAAAUGCAAUUAAAUUUGUGUACCCUAGGACUGCUCAUAGACUCUGUAGGUGGCAUGUCUUAAAAAAGUAGAAGGACCAGUUGAACAUCUUGUAUGCGAGUCGACAAGGCCUGAAGGAAUGGAUGCUCUCAGUGAUAAAUCACCCCCUAACACCUAAAGAAUUCGAGCAAGCUUGGGAUGAAAUGCUAACAACUUAUGAUCUUCACGGGAAUGUCACCCUUGCUGCCCUUUAUGAGAACCGCAGAGACUGGAUAGCCCCUUACUUUAAAGACAUAUAUUGUGGAAAGAUGACGUCAACUCAAAGAAGCGAGAGCAUGAAUAGGCUAGUAAAAAUUAAUUUUGUUGACCAUACCACUGCCCUGCAUAGAUUUGCUCGUCAGAUGUACCGUGUUCUUCAGGAUAGGAAGCACGCCGAGUCUAAACUCACACACGCAUCACAGGUACUUUGUCAAUCCAUCUUUUACAUUUUUUCUAUAUAA
rnacentral:rRNA from 1 species